rnacentral:lncRNA from 1 species
UAUAUGCAUAGUUCUAGGCAUGCGCGUUUCAGAAAUGUCAUAAAAAUGAUACUUUGGAGCUCUUUCGAACGAGUCUCUAGCAUCAUUACAACAAAAGAGUUAUGGAUAAAACUGUGGUUAGUUAACCAAUUUGCGCUUCUAUUUUCUUCUCGUCAUGUGUGCUUAAAUUGAAUUUGCAAACUCUUGCUAAUGAGGUCUUGGAUAAGAGGGAUCAAAAUGGGUGGUAGCAUUUGAUUAGACUAAUGGUGGGCUCUCUCUAUCUUGAAUUGCAGUUGAAUGAUAUCUAAAUUCUGGUAUUUAGCGGUUUGUUUAGUCCCCUCCAAGUGGCAUGGACAAACACAAUGCUUAUCUUAUCCAAUCUUUUUAUUCCUCCCCUUACCACAUGCAAUGCUUCUUCACUCGUCUUUUUCAAUGUCUAUAUUUAAAAUAUAUAAAAAUCGCACAAUUUUAUUUAUUUUUCAAACACAUCCCCAUGAUAAUGCUUAUACUUAUUUAUAGUUUCCCUUUCCUCAAGAAUCUUUUUUUUCCCAGGAAAUCAGAGGCAACAAGAGCUUCAACACGUAAACAUUAAUAUAUUUGAUAUACUAUAUAAAUUUAUGGAAU